AGCUAGGAAUGACAGUUUAAAGGAAUACUUCUUUUCUUCAGAGGACUUGGAACUCUAGUGGGGCGAGAGAGAAGAAUAAACUGCAGAAUCACUGAGGAGCAAAAUCCUACGGAAAUCUGUAUGAUGUGCUGCAAGCCUAGCGCACGAGCUCCCCUCUCUUCGUUUGGGGGGAGGCCUCACAUGACGCUGCGGCUGAAUCCUGGAGGAUGAGUAGAAAUUUGCAAGGGAGCAAAUGAAGAAAGGAAGCACCAGGCGUGGAGCAGCGAGGGCCCAGCAGAGGUACUGGAUGCCCCAAAACUGCUCACUGGGGCCCGGGAGCUCAGGAUUUCCAGAGAUGUGUGCUCAAAAGCCAGUGUAAAGAGUCAAGGACAAGGUGGAGCUGAAAAGACGGUUGGCGUCCCAGCAAGUGAUGCUCGUGAGUUGAGGAAGAGGCAGAAGCAACACUGAAUUCAUUCAUAGCAAAAGGAUUUCUUGAUCCAGCCUCCACUGUGUACAGAAAAAUUAUCUCAAAGGAAGGUAGGCCCUUUGGGUCUUCCAGAACCUGCUAGCGUCUCUGGAACAGGCUGAAUUGCUGUGGACUUGGGAUUCUUUGGUCAACUUGUCAGAGCAUGUCCAGUGUUUGAACAGCACCAGCUUAUGCACAGGAUGGCAGAAGGAAGGAAAGCACUUAGAAGCCACACAGCUAAUUUCAUUGGUAAACUGGAUGGAGGAGAGUGGCACAUGGAAGCUCUUGUCACAGCAAGUCAAGAUUCUUAUGUAAAUGCUCUGAGCUUGAGUCUGCCCUCCAAUAAACGCUUUCCCUACAGCCACCACCACCUCAUGCAGCAUCCAGUCUAUGCUGUUGUUCACUGUGUAUUUGUGGGCAACUGCCUUCUAGAUGUGCUCCCAGGAUGAACCAUGAGCAGCUCAAAGCCUUCUGUGCUGGUGGAAAAGAAAUGAAACAGCCAGCAUAUGCCUCAGGGAGGAAGAAAGCCCUUGGAGCAGAGAAAGAGGCUGGAAUUGCUUGGAGCAGUUGACCAAGAACUUGGCACCAUAGAGAACCUGACUGCUUCCAGAAUCAGGGCACACAGCUGCAUGGAACAAGAAUCAAAGGGUCCAAGAGACCCAGGGGACUGGGUCCUGGAGAACUACUUUGCCCAAGACCAGAAGCCAAGGGAGGGAGGUAGAUACAGAUGGACCUAGAUGAGAUGCAGACUUCUCAAGGAGCCACAUGUGAGAUCUGGGCUCAGACACUUGAAUUAGGUAUGAUCUCUAGUAAGACAUAUUUUGAUUCAGGGAAGGCUGGAUAAUGAACAUUUUGUAAGAAUUGAACCAGUACCUUUCUUAGAGUUUGAGCCCUUACCAAGUUUGAAUGUACUAUAAAAUAGCCAUUUUACCCUAUUUAAGAACAGGCUAAAGGAUUCUGCUAAAGAUGUGUUUCUGAAGAAAAAAAAUGAAGAUGAAAUAGCGCCUUAAAAAAAUCUUUUUCCUUCUAAUUCUUCUGACUGUAGAAAAUUUGUGAAAUACAGGAAAAUAUAAAGAAGAAACAGAAAGCAAUCAUAUAUACACCAACCCAUAGUAAUAACUUUUCUAUUUCCCAGCCUUUGUACAGUGAGUUUCAAUGUAGCUUUUAUCAUAUUGAAACCAUAGUUUGUGUCCUGCACAUUUAGCUUAAUAUUACAACACAUGCAUUUGUCCUUUGUUAUUGAGAAUGUACUUGAAAAAUGAAAUUCUUAAUGACUGUAAACCAUCCUACUCUACUAAGCACCACACUUUCUAAUCUUUACAUAGUUUUGAACAUUUAAAUGCUUUCCAAUAGUUUAAUAACUUAAACAGUUUUGUAGUAAACAUAUUUACACAUAAGGUUUAACUACUAAUAAGGAUUAUUUCCUUGGAAUUUCAUCAGAAGAGUUAUACACUAUUAAGCAUUUUGACAUUGUGCAUUUAUACUACCAUGGGAAUGCUGAUUUCUUCUCAGCCAUUACUCCACACUUGAAAUAAAAUACGAGUUGACCAUGAUCAGCAAUGUUUAAAGCAUUUAGGAUAUGUCUAUACUAGUCAGGCAUUUUAUAUCAGUUAGAAAUUCCUUUCAGAUACACUAAAGGAAAUCAGUUAAAUAGUGACUUUGGAGGGUUUAUUUCAGGUAAUGAUAGAAGAUGGAGUUUAGAAUAUCCAGGGGUAUUACUGCAGCUCCACAAAGUCAUCCAGGAAUCCGGGCGACUUUUAUUUUCCUGCUUUGUCAUCUCUGUCAUUGUUAGCUUGUGCCUUUCAG